rnacentral:rRNA from 1 species
AUGACUCUUGACAUGGGUGAGGCUAAUAAGAAGCUUCGCAUCACUAGCGAUGGUAUACAACAAUUAUUUGGUUUCCCUCGUGGUGGUCGUUCUACGCCAAGGCCUUCAGAGGACGGAUAUGACAACGCCCUGAUGAAGUUAAGAAUGGAGCUUGACAUUAGCAGGAACAAAGCAAUCAGUACAAAGGAAUUGAGGAAUAAGCUCAAGGUGCUCGUCAAGGAUCGUAGCAAAGAUGACCUUGCUCUGAAAGUGUUCUUCAUUAUUUUGUUUAUGAAGGUUGUGUUGCCUGGUUCUGCCCCGCAUGUUUCCAGAGAGGCAGCAAUGUUUGAGGGUCUCGUCUUUGAGGACAUGGCUAAAAGGGAUUAUUGCCAGCUGAUGGUUGAUGAGCUUAGAAGGGCUUUUGCCAACUACCAAGAUGGUGAUACCAUGGGGAAGGCAAUCACAGGUUGUGCCAUAGGUCCUGUACUAAUGUACCUUGACUACCUUAUCUGUGGCAAGACUGCGGAUCCUGACAUGUGA